rnacentral:rRNA from 1 species
UACAGAGGGUGCGAGCGUUAAUCGGAAUUAUUGGGCGUAAAGCGCGCGUAGGCGGCUACCUAAGUCGGAUGUGAAAGCCCCUGGCUUAACUGGGGAAGUGCACCCGAAACUGAGUAGCUAGAGUGCAAAAGAGGGUCGCGGAAUUCCCGGUGUAGAGGUGAAAUUCGUAGAUAUCGGGAGGAACACCAGUGGCGAAGGCGGCUCACUGGACCGGUACUGACGCUGAUGCGCGAAAGCGUGGGGAGCAAACGGG